GUCCUAGCCGUAAACGGUGCAUAUUUGCUGUAAAGGAAUCGACCCCUUUGUGGCGUAGCAAACGCGAUAAAUAUGCCGCCUGGGAAGUACGGUCGCAAGAUUAAAACUCAAAGAAAUUGACGGGGCCUGCACAAGCGGUGGAGUAUGUGGCUUAAUUCGAUGCAACGCGAAGAACCUUACCUGGCCUUGACAUGUAUCUAGUAGAAGGGUGAAAGCCUGACGAGGUAGCAAUACCAGGAUACACAGGUGCUGCAUGGCUGUCGU
rnacentral:rRNA from 1 species